rnacentral:rRNA from 1 species
CGCUGGCGGCAGGCUUAACACAUGCAAGUCGAGCGGUAACAGAAAGUAGCUUGCUACUUUGCUGACGAGCGGCGGACGGGUGAGUAAUGCCUAGGAAUCUGCCUGGUAGUGGGGGAUAACUUGCCGAAAGGUAAGCUAAUACCGCAUACGUCCUACGGGAGAAAGCAGGGGACCUUCGGGCCUUGCGCUAUUAGAUGAGCCUAGGUCGGAUUAGUUAGUUGGUGAGGUAAUGGCUCACCAAGACCGCGAUCCGUAACUGGUCUGAGAGGAUGAUCAGUCACACUGGAACUGAGACACGGUCCAGA